rnacentral:rRNA from 1 species
UACGGAGGAUCCGAGCGCUAUCCGGAUUUAUUGGGUUUAAAGGGUGCGCAGGCGGGAGAUUAAGUCGGCGGUGAAAUUUUGCAGCUCAACUGUAAAAGUGCCUUCGAAACUGGUUUCCUUGAGUGUAGAUGGAGUAGGCGGAAUUUGUGGUGUAGCGGUGAAAUGCAUAGAUAUCACGAGGAACUCCGAUUGCGCAGGCAGCUUACUAAACUACUACUGACGCUCAGGCACGAAGGCGUGGGGAUCAAACAGGAUUAGAUACCCU